GAUUUUUAUCCUUGCCUUCCCCUUUGUCAAACGUGACCCCCGAACCUUUUUCUUUGGCUUACGUGGACUAGGAGUCGUUUUAAAAAGGGUUUUACUACUUUGUCUUUAAAAAACACUUUUUUUGGGUGACUUGGUACACCCCAAAUCUAUACCAAGUGGCGACUCCGUUUUUCAUAUUUAAAAACCCUUUUUAAAAUUUCAUUUGGCCAAAUCGUC
rnacentral:lncRNA from 1 species